GGCGAACGGGUGAGUAAACACGUGGGCAACCUGCCCUCAGCUCUGGGAUAACUCCAAGAAAUUGGGGCUAAUACCGGAUAUGACUGCUGACCGCAUGGUCUGGUGGUGGAAAGAUUUAUCGGCUGGGGAUGGGCCCGCGGCUAUCAGCUUGUUGGUGGGGUAGUGGCCUACCAAGGCGACGACGGGUAGCCGGCCUGAGAGGGUGACCGGCCACACUGGGACUGGGACACGGCCCAGACUCCUACGGGAGGCAGCAGUGGGGAAUAUUGCGCAAUGGGCGAAAGCCUGACGCAGCGACGCCGCGUGGGGGAUGACGGCCUUCGGGUUGUAAACCUCUUUCAGCAGGGACGAAGCGAAAGUGACGGUACCUGCAGAAGAAGCACCGGCCAACUACGUGCCAGCCGCCGCGG
rnacentral:rRNA from 1 species